AGCCGCGUUGUUGAUUUGGGAAACUCAGCACUAUAAUAAUUCCGAGGCUUAAAGUUUACACAUUAAUGGCGGGCCGUCGCCCUUCGGGGUUCGGGCGGAUUACAGAGAUGUGGAAACCCUCAAAUCCUGUCUUUCGGAGUUUACGCAAUCCACUUCGCGGCUUCUUAU
rnacentral:sRNA from 1 species